GGCUGAGUGGUGUAGUAGUAACACCGUUGCUCUGAAUUGUGGUACAUUACACAAUAUGAUUCGGCAAAUGACGUGGGUUCGACUCCCACCUCAGCCA